UACGGGGGGUGCGAGCGUUGUCCGGAAUCACUGGGCGUAAAGGGCGCGUAGGUGGUUUGAUAAGGGUGUGGUGAAAGUCCGGGGCUCAACCCCGGAUCUGCCGUGCCGACUGUCAAACUCGAGGGCUGUAGAGGCAGACGGAAUUCCGGGUGUAGCGGUGGAAUGCGUAGAGAUCCGGAGGAAGACCGGUGGCGAAGGCGGUCUGCUGGGCGGUUUCUGACACUGAUGCGCGACAGCGUGGGGAGCAAACAGG
rnacentral:rRNA from 1 species